ACACUCACAAAGAGCCGAGGGGAGAGAGGGUGCGCAGACGGCCAGCCGGGCCGCGCCAGGGACAUACUGGAGACAGGAAGUGGCUGAGAGGGGGAGAGAGUUGGAGAGAGACGGCCGCGGAGGACACGGGGACGGGAAAGUCUGAGAGACGGGGAGAGCCUGACCCGGCGGGACACAGGCAGAAAGAAACACGCGAGCCAGACAGACGCAGAAGAAACGGUGGGCUGCCUGGUACUGGAUAGGAACUUCAUGGAAUGGAGCUAAUGGGCCGUAGGGCAGGUUUGAGUCGUGCCACCCUGGAGCAGAAGGUGGAGGGUAGGGAUAAGGGGGUGGAGCACCUGAUUCCAAUCUUGCCACAGGGAAGAAGAGUCUGUGAAGAAGGUGGAGAGAAACUAGGAGAAAAGCACAGGAUGUAGAGGUCUAUUCGGCAUAAUCUUCUCCCUCAUUUUCAUCUUCACCAUCAACAGAGAGAGCAGCAUACUUGCUUGCAGAACUGAACUUCUGUAACACAACGAGAGUGACAGGAUAAUGAAGGCCCUGAAUUAUCACAUCAAAACCCAAGACACAGGAUACUGAUCCUUUGGCAAUGGGGGAUGACAGUCAGAUGACACCCACUUGCUUGCUCAUCAGCAUUGUCCAUUGGAGAGGAGCUAGGGAAGAGGGUCAGAGGCACAUGCGAUCUUACUAUAGUCUCAUACCACCUCUACACCUUGCAGAAGGGAUGAGAACAAAGGAAGACAGAAACCAGGAAAAAGCUAAACUUCUUUCGCUAUUUCAGUAAAGACCAAUGUCUUAUUUCCAAACACUUUGUAUUCCAAAUGGAAAGAAGUCCAACGGCAAAAAGUUUAGAAUACUAAGAAUUUUUAAUUCUUAGUAAGAAUACUUAGAAUUCUAAGAAUUUUUCUUAGAAUGAAAAAUUGGGAGCAGCCUUCAACACUUACGGAAGCUGGAUUUUCCUCAGGUUUCUUUGGCUCAGGUGCAGAUCUGGAGUCUUGAUCCUUUUUGCCAUCUUUCCUGCAGAGACGUAAGCAUAAAACCAUGUCUUUAGGAAAGGACUCGCCUAAUACAAACAUGUGUAUGCAUGCAGUUUCAAGGCACUGAACAGGCACCUCUAGUCAACAGUCCUUGUUGUCUGGAUGAUGUAUUACUUCUAGAUUUUCAGAAUCUUAACUGUCUACGUUGGCUGACUUUAGUUUGCUCACAAUGAGCGAUCUGGCAGUGCUCUGAGAACCAAGAACUUAAUUUCUUAAUUACACAAACAUGUGGAUCAGAGGAAAGAUGAGAAAGAGAACAAGCAUACCUAUCUGACUCCUUCCAGUGGUCUCUGUUCCCUCCGUCGCCUGGACCACGGCUAGAGUUCCCAGUUUGGCCUUUUGGGGCAUUCAUCCCAUCUACUUUAUUUUCAUCUGCUUGGGCAGUAAUGUAAACAAAUUAAAGGCAAGUAAAAGUAUCAAUGUCCCUCUCCUAAGAUUUCCCUUAAGCUGAAGAAAAUUGUGCCCACAUGUACUGAGGGAAACUAACCUCACCCCAACCCAGACUUCCUUCCUGAAGCCCUUCUUUCCACAUCCUCUACAGCACACAAAAAUACAAAAAACAAACAAAAUCCACUAAAAAGUUCCAUGUAGGGAUAUGCCAUCAUGAAAAGCAAGCUGGAAAUAAAGAUUAUGACGCUCUGUA
ensembl:lncRNA TNS2-AS1 TNS2 antisense RNA 1